rnacentral:rRNA from 1 species
AGUCAUAUGCUUGUCUCAAAGAUUAAGCCAUGCAUGUCUAAGUACAUGCCGUAUUAAGGCGAAACCGCGAAUGGCUCAUUAAAUCAGUUAUGGUUCCUUGGAUCGUAUAUAAUUACAUGGAUAACUGUGGUAAUUCUAGAGCUAAUACAUGCCUCAGAGCUCCGACCUUCGGGGACGAGCGCUUUUAUUAGAUCAAAACCAAUCUGGCUCUGCCAGUGACGCGUGGUGACUCUGAAUAACUUUGGGCUGAUCGCACGGGCCCGUCCCGGCGACGUAUCUUUCAAGUGUCUGCCUUAUCAACUUUCGAUGGUAGGUUACGCGCCUACCAUGGUCGUAACGGGUAACGGGGAAUCAGGGUUCGAUUCCGGAGAGGGAGCCUGAGAAACGGCUACCACAUCCAAGGAAGGCAGCAGGCGCGCAAAUUACCCACUCCCGGCACGGGGAGGUAGUGACGGAAAAUAACAAUACGGGACUCUUUUGAGACCCCGUAAUUGGAAUGAGUACACUCUAAACCCUUUAACGAGGAUCCAUU